rnacentral:rRNA from 1 species
CAGAGGGUGCGAGCGUUGUCCGGAAUCACUGGGCGUAAAGGGCGCGUAGGCGGCUUUGCAAGCGUGCGGUGAAAGCUCGGGGCUUAACUCCGAGUCUGCCGUGCGAACUGUGAGGCUUGAGUCUGGUAGAGGUCGAUGGAAUUCCGGGUGUAGCGGUGGAAUGCGUAGAGAUCCGGAAGAACACCGGUGGCGAAGGCGGUCGACUGGGCCAGUACUGACGCUGAGGCGCGACAGCGUGGGGAGCAAACAGGAUUAGAUACCCUGGUAGUCCACGCCGUAAACGAUGGGCACUAGGUCCUUGGGGGAGCGACCCCGUGAGGGCCGGCGCUAACGCAUUAAGUGCCCCGCCUGGGGAGUACGGCCGCAAGGCUG